ACACCUUUUCUACCUGCUGCAGGUGAGACACACACGUUCUCAGGUGAGACAUACACCUUUUCUACCUGCUGCAGGUGAGACACAAACAUGUUCAACCUGCUGCAGGUGAGACACACACCUGUUCUACCUGCUGCAGGUGGGACACACCUGUUCUACCUGCCGCAGGUGAGACACACACGUUCUCAGGUGAGACAUACACCUUUUCUACCUGCUGCAGGUGAGACACAAACAUGUUCAACCUGCUGCAGGUGAGACACACACCUGUUCUACCUGCUGCAGGUGGGACACACCUGUUCUACCUGCCGCAGGUGAGACACACACGUUCUCAGGUGAGACAUACACCUUUUCUACCUGCUGCAGGUGAGACACAAACAUGUUCAACCUGCUGCAGGUGAGACACACACCUGUUCUACCUGCUGCAGGUGGGACACACAUGUUCUACCUGCUGCAGGUGGGACACACCUGUUCUACCUGCUGCAGGUGGGACACACACGUUCUCAGGUGAGACACACACCUUUUCUACCUGCUGCAGGUGAGACACACACCUCUUCUAUCUGCUGUGUGUGUGUGUG